UAAAACCCUCGUUACUGGUAAUCGUCGCGGCCACGCCGUUAAACCCCAACUUCUGAAUGUUGACCUCGGAUCAGGUAGGAAUACCCGCUGAACUUAAGAUUCCGUAGGUGAACCUGCGGAGGGAUCAUUACUGAGUUUACAACUCCCAAACCCCUGUGAACAUACCACUUGUUGCCUCGGCGGAUCAGCCCGCUCCCGGUAAAACGGGACGGCCCGCCAGAGGACCCCUAAACUCUGUUUCUAUAUGUAACUUCUGAGUAAAACCAUAAAUAAAUCAAAACUUUCAACAACGGAUCUCUUGGUUCUGGCAUCGAUGAAGAACGCGGCAAAAUGCGAUAAGUAAUGUGAAUUGCAGAAUUCAGUGAAUCAUCGAAUCUUUGAACCCACAUUGCGCCCGCCAGUAUUCUGGCGGGCAUGCCUGUUCGAGCGUCAUUUCAACCCUCAAGCACAGCUUGGUGUUGGGACUCGCGUUAAUUCGCGUUCCCCAAAUUGAUUGGCGGUCACGUCGAGCUUCCAUAGCGUAGUAGUAAAACCCUCGUUACUGGUAAUCGUCGCGGCCACGCCGUUAAACCUCAACUUCUGAAUGUUGACCUCGGAUCAGGUAGGAAUACCCGCUGAACUUAA
rnacentral:rRNA from 1 species